rnacentral:tRNA from 1 species
CGGAACGUGGCGCAGUCCGGUUAGCGUACUUGACUGGGGGUCAAGUGGUCGCGGGUUCAAAUCCCGCCGUUCCGACCA